rnacentral:rRNA from 1 species
GUCCAGACUCCUACGGGAGGCAGCAGUGGGGAAUAUUGCACAAUGGGGGAAACCCUGAUGCAGCGACGCCGCGUGAGCGAUGAAGUAUUUCGGUAUGUAAAGCUCUAUCAGCAGGGAAGAAGAUGACGGUACCUGACUAAGAAGCCCCGGCUAACUACGUGCCAGCAGCCGCGGUAAUACGUAGGGGGCAAGCGUUAUCCGGAUUUACUGGGUGUAAAGGGAGCGUAGACGGCGGUGCAAGCCAGAUGUGAAAGCCCGGGGCUCAACCCCGGGACUGCAUUUGGAACUGUAUGGCUGGAGUGUCGGAGAGGCAGGCGGAAUUCCUAGUGUAGCGGUGAAAUGCGUAGAUAUUAGGAGGAACACCAGUGGCGAAGGCGGCCUGCUGGACGAUGACUGACGUUGAGGCUCGAAAGCGUGGGGAGCAAACAGGAUUAGAUACCCUUGUA